rnacentral:rRNA from 1 species
AUUGAACGCUGGCGGCAUGCCUUACACAUGCAAGUCGAACGGCAGCAUGGAGAGCUUGCUCUCUGAUGGCGAGUGGCGAACGGGUGAGUAAUGCAUCGGAACGUACCGUGUAAUGGGGGAUAACGUAGCGAAAGUUACGCUAAUACCGCAUACGACCUGAGGGUGAAAGCAGGGGAUCGCAAGACCUUGCGUUAUACGAGCGGCCGAUGUCAGAUUAGCUAGUUGGUGAGGUAAAGGCUCACCAAGGCGACGAUCUGUAGCGGGUCUGAGAGGAUGAUCAGCCACACUGGGACGGGGACACGGCCCAGACUCCUACGGGAGGCAGCAGUGGGGAAUUUUGGACAAUGGGGGCAACCCUGAUCCAGCCAUGCCGCGUGAGGGAAGAAGGCCUUCGGGUUGUAAAGCUCUUUCGGCCGGGAAGAAAUCGCACAGGCUAAUACUCUGUGUGGAUGACGGUACCGGCAUAGGAAGCACCGGCUAACUACGUGCCAGCCGCCGCCGUAA